rnacentral:rRNA from 1 species
GAAUUACUGGGCGUAAAGGGUGAGUAGGCGGCAGGUCAAGUCAUAUGUGAAAAUCCAGGGCUCAACCCUGGACUUGCAUAAGAAACUGGCCAGCUGGAGUGCAGGAGAGGUAAGUGGAAUUCCUAGUGUAGCGGUGAAAUGCGUAGAGAUUAGGAAGAACACCAGUGGCGAAGGCGACUUACUGGACUGUAACUGACGCUGAGUCACGAAAGCGUGGGGAGCGAACAGGAUUAGAUACCCAGGUAGUCCACGCUGUAAACGAUGAAUGCUAGGUGUCGGGGCGAGAGUUUCGGUGCCGGAGUUAGCACAAUAAGCAUUCCGCCUGGGGAGUACGGUCGCAAGACUGAAACUCAAAGGAAUUGACGGGGGCCCGCACAAGCGGUGGAGUAUGUGGUUUAAUUCGACGCAACGCGAAGAACCUUACCAAGGCUUGACAUGGAAAUGACCGCUGUAGAAAUACAGUUUCUCUUCGGGGCAUUUCACACAGGUGGUGCAUGGUUGUCGUCAGCUCGUGUCGUGAGAUGUUGGGUUAAGUCCCGCAACGAGCGCAACCCUUAUAUUUAGUAGCCAUCAGGUUAAGCUGGGCACUCUAGAUAGACUGCCGUGGAUAACAACGGAGGAAGGUGGGGACGAUGUCAAAUCAUCAUGCCCUUUAUGUCUUGGGCUACACACGUACUACAAUGGGUGUUCACAAAGUGACGCAAGCUAGUGAUAGCAAGCAAAGCACAAAAAAGCACCCCCAGUUCGGAUUGUAGUCUGCAACUCGACUACAUGAAGUUGGAAUCGCUAGUAAUCGUAGAUCAGAAUGCUACGGUGAAUACG